rnacentral:rRNA from 1 species
CAAGUACGAACGGAGUUAUAUUAGUGAAGUUUCGGAUGGAAUAAGUAUAACUUAGUGGCGGACGGGUGAGUAACGCGUGGGUAACCUGCCUCAUACAGGGGGAUAACAGCUGGAAACGGCUGCUAACACCGCAUAAGCAUACAGCAUCGCAUGAUGCAGUGUGAAAAUAUUAAUAGGUAUGAGAUGGGCCCGCGUCUGAUUAGCUGGUUGGUAAGGUAACGGCUUACCAAGGCGACGAUCAGUAGCCGGCUUGAGAGAGUGACCGGCCACAUUGGGACUGAGACACGGCCCAAACUCCUACGGGAGGCAGCAGUGGGGAAUAUUGCACAAUGGGGGAAACCCUGAUGCAGCGACGCCGCGUGAGUGAAGAAGUAUUUCGGUAUGUAAAGCUCUAUCAGCAGGGAAGAAAAUGACGGUACCUGACUAAGAAGCCCCGGCUAACUACGUGCCAGCAGCGGC